rnacentral:rRNA from 1 species
UGGGGAAUAUUGGACAAUGGGCGGAAGCCUGAUCCAGCAACGCCGCGUGAGGGAUGACGGCCUUCGGGUUGCAAACCUCCUUCAGUACCGACGAAGCGGAAGUGACGGUAGGUACAGAAGAAGCACCGGCCAACUACGUGCCAGCAGCCGCGGUAAUACGUAGGGUGCGAGCGUUGUCCGGAAUUAUUGGGCGUAAAGGGCUCGUAGGCGGUUUGUCGCGUCGGGAGUGAAAACACUGGGCUUAACUCAGUGCUUGCUUCCGAUACGGGGCAGACUAGAGGCAUGCAGGGGAGAACGGAAUUCCUGGUGUAGCGGUGAAAUGCGCAGAUAUCAGGAGGAACACCGGUGGCGAAGGCGGUUCUCUGGCAUGUCCUGACGCUGAGAGCGAAAGUGUGGGAGCGAACAGGAUUAGAUACCCUGGUAGUCCACACCGUAAACGUUGGGCGCUAGGUGUGGGGCCUAUUCCAUGGGUUCCUGCCGCAGCUAACGCAUUAAGCGCCCCGCCUGGGGAGUACGGCCGCAAGGCUAAAACUUAAAGAAUUGACGGGU